AAAAUUGUUUCUUUUUAGCUCAUUUGAUGGAGUUUUAAUCUUUAUAGUCUCCAAGUUGCAGUUCAUCCUCCUCUGCAAUGAGUUUUGUCAUCAUCGAUCGGAUUAGUAACUUACCAGAUACAAACAUCCCUAGCAAUUUCAUCUCUGUAUGAGCAUCUCUUUCUGAGUUUAACUAUGCUCCAUCAAUGUACCUGAUCCUGGUGGAUUAUUAGGAUGGUUAGAAAGAUGAAAGGGAUGAGAUGACGUUGGUGGGUGGUUGAGUUUGGAUCAUAUGAUCUCGACGGUCAUCAGCUGGAGUUGAAGGUCCGAAUUAAAACUGGAGCAAUUCUUCCUUCUCUUCCUAUAUCUUCUAUUGAUCGCAGGAUAUGCUGACAUUAUUGACAGGCUAUUAUCCUGAACUAAGAAAAACUUGCUGAAUUAACUUAUGACAGAAACCUGCAGGCUGUUGAUUGAGGUUACUUGAAGUCUCUAUCAUGUGUUGAAAUUGUAUUCCAGGGUCUUUAUCUUGUCUCUGGAAAAGUUCCGAUAAUCGGAAAAUGUAUAAUAAAGUGGAGAUUAUUUUUUCUCUUUCAUCAUCCUGAACUAAACAGAAGAACUCUUUGAAUUAACUUAUGACAGAAACCUGCAGGCUGUUGAUUGAGGUUACUUGAAGUCUGAGAAUGCUGCACCUUUUUUCCAGGUCUGCUGAGCCAGAGAUGGUUUAUCUCUGCCGCCUUCCUCUCUAUGGGUUGGGUGCUGUGUUGUGCGCCUCCUGUCCUCUUGAUGUUCUGUGUGUGUUGGGCUGGAGAUCCUGAUGUAUAGGGUGCAUUUUGGGUCCUUGUAAAGUGAUAGAAAAUUCUUUUGUAUAGUUGCUAUCUUGUUCCCUAUCUUGCUUUCGUGGAGAUAGUUUAAUAAAAUGAACUUAGGUUGUCUUUUUUGGUCUUGGUAAUGUAAUCUUACUUACCAAAAGGAAAAAACUUAUGACAGAAACCUGCAGGCUGUUGAGUGAGGUUGUUGGAAGUCUCUAUCAUGUGUUAAAAUGUAUUCCAGGGUCUUAUCUUGUCUCUGGAAAACGUAUAUGUAGAUUACCGAUCGAUGAUCGGAAAAUGUAUAAUAAAGUGAAGAUUAUUUUUUCUCUUUCA